UACGAAGGGGGCUAGCGUUGUUCGGAAUUACUGGGCGUAAAGCGCACGUAGGCGGAUAUUUAAGUCAGGGGUGAAAUCCCAGAGCUCAACUCUGGAACUGCCUUUGAUACUGGGUAUCUUGAGUAUGGAAGAGGUAAGUGGAAUUGCGAGUGUAGAGGUGAAAUUCGUAGAUAUUCGCAAGAACACCGGUGGCGAAGGCGGCCAACUGGAUCAUUACUGACGCUGAGGCGCGAAAGCGUGGGGAGCAACAGG
rnacentral:rRNA from 1 species